ACAGAGUCGCCGCGGUAAUACGGAGGGUGCAAGCGUUAUCCGGAUUUAUUGGGUUUAAAGGGUCCGUAGGCGGACUUAUAAGUCAGUGGUGAAAGCCUGUCGCUUAACGAUAGAACUGCCAUUGAUACUGUAAGUCUUGAGUAUAUUUGAGGUAGCUGGAAUAAGUAGUGUAGCGGUGAAAUGCAUAGAUAUUACUUAGAACACCAAUUGCGAAGGCAGGUUACCAAGAUAUAACUGACGCUGAGGGACGAAAGCGUGGGUAGCGAACAGGAUUAGAUACCCCAGUAGUCCCUGUCUCUUAUACA
rnacentral:rRNA from 1 species